rnacentral:lncRNA from 1 species
AUGAUAGAUUUUCCGCUCUUAUUUUUAGCUCUCACUCGCCUACACAGCUACACGGCAUUUAUCCGAGAACGUCACAGCGCCCGCUUGCUGCACUGGGAGGGCGCGCGGGCCGCCGGGCGAGCCGGGAGCUGCAGCGGGGAGCGCGCAUCCGCGUCUGCCGCAGAGGGCAGCGGGCUCGCCCCGAACCCGGAGCCAGCCGAACCCGGAGCCAGCCGAGCCCGGCCCGGAGCUCCGCAGCGGGGAUGGGUGUCCGCGCAGCCCUCCAAGGAACGACACCAUCUUUCCGCGCAGAAACUGCGGGCGCCCCUCCCCCGACACACACACACUCACACUCACCAUACACCACACACACCCACACAACACACACGCACACUCAUACCCCACGCACACUCUCACCACACGCGCACCGCACGCACACCGCACACAUUCCCCACACUCACACCACACACCAUAAACCACACACACCCACACACCUCACACACCACACACACAACACACUCACACAACACACACACCAUACACACCCUCCCACACCACACACACAGCACACUCACACCACACACCAUACACAAACACCACACACACCGCACACACACACCACAUACACCAUGCACCACACACACCACACAUGCACACACACCAUACACCACACACCCACAUAACCCACACACACUCAUACACACACUAACACACACUGCACACAUUCACCACACUCACACCACACACACCAUAAACCACACACACCUCAGACACCACACACACAGCACACACACCACACACACACCAUACACACACCACACACAGCACACACCACACACACCAUACACACACCACACACACCGCACACACACCAUGUACACCAUGCACCACACACACCACAAACACGCUCACACACACCGUACACCACACACACCCACACACACACUUAACACUGCACACAUUCACCACACUCACACCACACACACCAUAAACCACACACACACCUCACACACCACACACACACCACACACACCACACACACCCACACACCACACACACCACACACACCCACACACCACACACACAGCUCACACACCACACACACCCACACACCACCCACACACCAUACACACACCACACACACCAUGUACACCAUGCACCACACACACCACACACACGCUCACACACACCAUACACCACACACCCACACAACACACGCACACUCACACACACUAA